AGGUGUUAUUUUUGGGUGUCCAAUUCUUUCCUAACAAGUUAGGAGUACAUAUCUUCGCAACAUUGAAAUUGUAUCACAGUUGUGACUGUGAUAAUGAAGAAAGAGAUCUCGUGAAUAUUUUUGAUGGCCUCAAUUUAAAGCCUUCGAAUCUUCCUGCUCGAGAUGCUCCUUGGAAGGGAGGCUUCAUCCUUGAUGCAGCCACACCUGGAGAAUUCAUUGGUAGGUUCCAAGCACGACCUCCAUGUAAGGUCCAUCCUAAAGCCUAUGC